rnacentral:rRNA from 1 species
AGUGAACGCUGGCGGCGUGCCUAAUACAUGCAAGUCGAACGGAAUUUAAAAGAGCUUGCUCUUUUAAAUUUAGUGGCGCACGGGUGAGUAAUAUAUAGCUAAUCUGCCCCUUGCUGGAGGACAACAGUUAGAAAUGACUGCUAAUACUCCAUACUCCUUUUUACCAUAAGAUAAAUCGGGAAAGAAUUUCGGCAAGGGAUGAGACUAUAUCGUAUCAGCUAGUCGGUGGGGUAACGGCCUACCGAGGCUAUGACGCGUAACUGGUCUGAGAGGAUGAUCAGUCACAUUGGAACUGAGACACGGUCCAAACUCCUACGGGAGGCAGCAGUAGGGAAUAUUGCGCAAUGGGGGAAACCCUGACGCAGCAACGCCGCGUGGAGGAUGACACUUUUCGGAGCGUAAACUCCUUUGUUAGGGAAGAAU